CGGACAGAGCGGGGCUCUUAGGAUGUUGCUGGAGGUUGUGCUCCGCGGGGCUCAGACGAAAUCUGUGAAUGGAAGAAAUGCUUUCAAGCAAACAGCCGCUACCAGAACAACUCUGUGACUAGGAGAAAGAGGCCAAGGCGCGAGUUCCCAAACCCUGAAGCCACAGGAGCCCAAGGGGGAGACUGGAGAGAAGGUAUUUCUAGCCGUGCACAGUGACUGAUCAGCCGAGGACCUACCCUCGAGUUCUAUUCUGCAACAGUGAACAGUGAAGGUCUCCAAAGGGUGUUCCACAGAGCUACUUCUGCUCUCUGCACCUCUGUUUCCACAAGUUUAUAAUGGAGACACGAGGAAGCCGUUUCCAGCAAGGCCUCUGCUGAAUCUAGAAGUUGCUUCUGGCUGAGUGAUGCUCUCUUGUUCCCCUCAACCCUCCUGAGAAGAGGAUUCCACUUGAGUGUCCCCUUUCCUUGGCUCUCCUCCAAGAUUGAAUCAACCCAGCUGGCAUCCGACCGUU
rnacentral:lncRNA from 1 species